rnacentral:rRNA from 1 species
ACGGAAGGCAGCAGUGGGGAAUAUUGCACAAUGGGGGAAACCCUGAUGCAGCGACGCCGCGUGAGUGAUGAAGUAUUUCGGUACGUAAAGCUCUAUCAGCAGGGAGGAUAAUGACGGUACCUGACUAAGAAGCCCCGGCUAAAUACGUGCCAGCAGCAGCGGUAAUACGUAUGGGGAAAGCGUUAUCCGGAUUUACUGGGUGUAAAGGGAGCGCAGGCGGUUUUACAAGUCUGGUGUGAAAAUCCGGGGCUCAACCCCGGAACCGCACCGGAAACUGUAGGACUAGAGUAUCGGAGAGGCAAGCGGAAUUCCUAGUGUAGCGGUGAAAUGCUUAGAUAUUAGGAGGAACACCAGUGGCGAAGGCGGCUUGCUGGACGAAAACUGACGCUGAGGCGCGAAAGCGUGGGGAGCAAACAGGAUUAGAUACCCUGGUA